rfam:Salmo salar isolate Sally breed double haploid chromosome ssa05, whole genome shotgun sequence.
GGCAUAGUGGCCAAGUGGUAAGGUGUUGGUCUUGUAAACUGAACAUCAUGGGUUCAAAUCCUUUCUGUGCCU